UACGGGGGGGGCAAGCGUUGUUCGGAAUUACUGGGCGUAAAGGGCUCGUAGGCGGCCAACUAAGUCGGAUGUGAAAUCCCCAGGCUUAACCUGGGAACUGCAUCCGAUACUGGUUGGCUUGAAUCCGGGAGAGGGAUGCGGAAUUCCAGGUGUAGCGGUGAAAUGCGUAGAUAUCUGGAGGAACACCGGUGGCGAAGGCGGCAUCCUGGACCGGCAUUGACGCUGAGUGAGCGAAAGCCAGGGGAGCAAACGGG
rnacentral:rRNA from 1 species